rnacentral:lncRNA from 10 species
AGAAACUUAAGUUUAUAGUUUGUAGUUUAAACAAAGAUGGUAACAGCCUUUUCCCAAAGCAGACCUCCUUCUCGCCUGGAGACUAUAUUGCCUUUGUAGGACUAACAGUAGCCACAAGAUUGGAAAUUAUGGUUUAAGGGUCAUGCAGCUGGAGGUUAUAAGAUUCUGACCCUCCCUGAACUGCUCCUAAGAUCAGUGCUUGAUUUUGCAGAGCCUGCACAUGAUGGAUCAGCUGGCCCCACCCAGAUCAAUGAACUGGCUCAUCUGAUCUCGUGCCCCUCCUCCCCAACCCAGUAACUGACUGCGCAUUGCAUUCUGGUGGAACAACUGAUGCCACCCAGACUUGUGACCCCCACCCAGGAACUGACAGAGGCACAGAGACAGUUUUGAUAACCCUGUGGUUUCAUCCCUGACCAAACCAAUCAGUAUUUCCCAUUCCCUAGCUCCCUGCCUGCCAAACUAUCCUUAAAACCCUAGCCUCCGCAUUCUCUGGGAGGCAGAUUUGAGAAUUGUCUCAUCUUCUCGCUUGGCUGGCCUUGCAAUUAAACAUGUUCUUUGCUGCA